rnacentral:rRNA from 1 species
GAUGAACGCUGGCGGCGUGCUUAACACAUGCAAGUCGAACGGAAAGGCCAGUGCUUGCACUGGUACUCGAGUGGCGAACGGGUGAGUAACACGUGGGUGAUCUGCCCUGUACUUCGGGAUAAGCUUGGGGAACUGGGUCUAAUACCGGAUAGGACAACUUUUUGGAUAUUGUUGUGGAAAGCUUUUGCGGUAUGGGAUGAGCUCGCGGCCUAUCAGCUUGUUGGUGGGGUAAUGGCCUACCAAGGCGUCGACGGGUAGCCGGCCUGAGAGGGUGUACGGCCACAUUGGGACUGAGAUACGGCCCAGACUCCUACGGGAGGCAGCAGUGGGGAAUAUUGCACAAUGGGCGCAAGCCUGAUGCAGCGACGCCGCGUGGGGGAUGAAGGCCUUCGGGUUGUAAACUCCUUUCGCUAGGGACGAAGCUUUUUUGUGACGGUACCUGGAGAAGAAGCACCGGCUAACUACGUG